rnacentral:rRNA from 1 species
AUUGAACGCUGGCGGCAGGCCUAACACAUGCAAGUCGAGCGGAGCGGCGGACGGGUGAGUAAUGCCUAUGAAUCUGCCUGGUACUGGGGGAGAACUACCGGCAACGGGCGCUAAUUCCGCAUACUCUCAGCUGAGUCUAGGUCGGAUUAGCUAGUUGGUGGGGUAAAGGCCUACCAAGGCGACGAUCCGUAACUGGUCUGAGAGGAUGAUCAGUCACACGGGAACUGAGACACGGUCCAGACUCCUACGGGAGGCAGCAGUGGGGAAUAUUGGACAAUGGGCGAAAGCCUGAUGCAGCCAUGCCGCGUGUAUGAAGAAGGUCUUCGGAUUGUAAAGCACUUUAAGUUGGGAGGCGUUACCAACAGAAGAAGCACCGGCUAACUUCGUGCCAGCAGCCGCGGUAAUUC